UAGGGAAUCUUCGGCAAUGGACGGAAGUCUGACCGAGCAACGCCGCGUGAGUGAUGAAGGUCUUCGGAUUGUAAAGCUCUGUUAAUCGGGACGAAAGAGUUCUGUGUGAAUAAUGCAGAAAAGUGACGGUACCGGAAUAGAAAGCCACGGCUAACUACGUGCCAGCAGCCGCGGUAAUACGUAGGUGGCAAGCGUUGUCCGGAAUUAUUGGGCGUAAAGCGCGCGCAGGCGGCCUAUCCAGUCUGUCUUAAAAGUUCGGGGCUCAACCCCGUGAUGGGAUGGAAACUAGUAGGCUAGAGUAUCGGAGAGGAAAGCGGAAUUCCUAGUGUAGCGGUGAAAUGCGUAGAUAUUAGGAAGAACACCAGUGGCGAAGGCGGCUUUCUGGACGAAAACUGACGCUGAGGCGCGAAAGCGCGGGUAGCAAACAGGAUUAGAUACCCUGGUAGUCCACGCUGUAAACGAUGAGUACUAGGUGUCGGGGGUUACCCCCCUCGGUGCCGCAGCUAACGCAUUAAGUACUCCGCCUGGGGAGUACGCACGCAAGUGUG
rnacentral:rRNA from 1 species